rnacentral:rRNA from 1 species
GGACGUGAUACUCUGCGAUAAGCGUAGGUUAGCCGACAAUAGGCUUUGAUCCUGCGAUUUCCGAAUGGGGGAACCCACUUGACAGUUAUUUAUUGUUACCUUUGGUGAUCAAUAAGUGGCUGAACCAAGUACUUCUUACCUGAAUAAAAUAGGGUUUGAAGAGCAAACCCGGGGAACUGAAACAUCUAAGUACCCGGAGGAAAGGAAAUCAAUUGAUACUCCGCUAGUAGUGGCGAGCGAACGCGGAUCAGCCGAGACCAAUAAGUGACUGGAACGACCUGGGAAGGUCGGCCAUAGUGGGUGAUAGCCCCGUAUGGGUAAUGUCUUGUUUAGGUCCUUGAGUAGGGCGGAACACGUGAAAUUCUGUCUGAAGAUCGGAGGACCACCUC